UUUCGCCCAGCGUACCUGUCCCACAAUCGUGUUAAUCUCACCGGUCAUCUGCUGUCCCAUUGUGUUUCUGCUUCUCUGACCUUCUCUCCAAGGCCACGGUGGCUUCUCAUGUCAUGAUCUUUCUUGGAUCAGAAAUUCCCUUCUUGAUUCCCUUUGGCACUCUCACCCCAAACCAUAACCUGGGGGGGUGCAUAAAAAAGACCAGAAGAAAAACAAAGCCAGGCUCAGGUUUCUGUUUGGAUUUUCCUUUGCAGGCGAGGUAUGUGGUGGCAUUUUAUUGUCUAAUGUCUGCUCUUCAGGGAGACAGCCAUCUGCCUGGUAAUCAUGACCUAAGCUUGUUAGUCACUCCCAAGCAAGGGCUUUGCUGGGCAGAUUCCAAUAAAUAAGACACCAGACACUUGGAGGCUGUGGAACAAGAGCCACCCUGGGGCGCCCUCCCUUAAAGCCUUCCCUGCCCGGCUCUUGCAGCAAACAAGGAGCUUUUCCAAGGACCUGAGUUCCUUUGCCAUGCCGCUCCUCGAUGGAGACCUGGACAGCGAGAAGCACCCCUCCCGUAAGGUGGACAGCCCCCUCGGCUCGGGCAGCCCCUCCAGAGGGCUGUUCUCCAGAGGCCCCCCGGCCCGGCCGUCCAGCCCCGUGUCUGCUCCCGUGCGACCCAAGACCAGCCCGGGCUCCCCCAAAACCGUGUUCCCAUUCUCCUACCAGGAGUCCCCGCCCCGCUCGCCACGCCGUAUGAGCUUCAGUGGGAUCUUCCGGUCCUCGUCCAAAGAGUCUUCACCCAACUCCAACCCGUCUACCUCACCCGGGGGCAUCAGGUUCUUCUCCCGCGCCAGAAAAACCUCCAACGUCUCCUCUUCCCCGUCCACGCCCACCCAAGUGACCAAGCAGCACACGUUUCCGCUCGAGUCCUACAAGCAGGAGCCGGAGCGCCUGGAGAACCGCAUCUAUGCCUCCUCGCCGCCAGACACGGGCCAGCGCUUCUGCCUGGCCUUCCAGAGCCCAGCCCGGCCGCCGCUGGCCUCCCCGACGCACCACGCCACGCCCAGAACUGUGAGUCCGGGCCCUCCUCCCGGGCAGGCGGGCAACCGGCGGACGGGCCCUGCUGCCCCACACCGAGUCUGUCUCAGCCCGCGGCCAGGGCUGUGCGCUGCUGGCUGUUGUGCUUUAUUUUGUCAUAAGGCACGGAUCAAGGAAGAGCGUCAAGGGUGUGGGGUAGGGAAGAUGGCAGGUGUAGGAAACACCGCGACGUCAGCUCCGUAG
rnacentral:lncRNA from 1 species